UGCUAGCGUGGCAGAGCCCGGAUAAAUGCAAAAGGCUUAAGCCCUUUACCCAGAGGUUCAAGUCCUCUCCCUAGCU
rnacentral:tRNA from 1 species